CUGCUUAGCUUCAUCAUAGGCUAUGUCUAUACUACCGCAGUAAGUCUACCUAUGCUACGCAACUCCAACUACGUGAAUAACGUAGCUGUAGUCGAUGUACCUAAGAUCAAGUUACCGCAGGGUAUACACCGUGGGGCGUCGA